GGAGCCAUGAGGAAUUCAUGCCUUGCACAGGGGAGGAGCCUGCCCUCUUGAGCUCUUGUGGUGACCUGGGAAUCAAUGUGUGAGGUGGUACUUUUUACCAGGAACCCCUCUCGCUUUGCAAAUAGUUUUUUGUUUGUUUGUUUUCCUUUUUUCCCAAUAGAACCCUGCUGUACUCACCCUUCAAUGUGCCCGUGUGUCUAAAUAUUCCUUGUCGUGUGAAAAGAACCCAGGUAUAAGCUGAACUAAGGAGCACAAUUCUGCAACGUUUUGGCACCCAAACGCCGGGCUUGAGAAAUGGCUUACCAAAAUCAAACUUCAGUUUCAAAAUUGUCUUUCUUGAUACCAGACCUUUGGAUGCUACAGAGGACACCUGCAACAUCAAAAAAAGAGGUAAGCAGGAUUAUCUGAUAUAUUUUAGGUACAUGGGAAUGACAAAAUGGUGUUCAAUCUUUUAUAGGUUGUAUUUUUGUGAAUAAUACUAAUAUACGUUCCAAACUUUUAUGGGAUUUAUACAAUUCUAAUGUUUGAGCAUAUACUGUCAAUCAUAAUUAUAGCUAUUAUGUUAAGUUAUUGUAAACCAUGGAGAUAACCAAAUUUAUUUGCCAAUCAUGUUUCUGACUGCAACUACCCUGGACAUUUUGUUACUCACAAACCAUUGUUGUCUUGUUUUGAUCCUAUCCUCUUCACAUGAUGUUUAUAAUCAGCUAUGGAACUUUGACAGGUGUUCUCAAAUGCAGGUUUCUGAUAACUUUGGAGAUUGUGACAUUGGAAUAAAGGAAAAACAUACAGGACUCAUGAAAAUUGAAAUGUUCAUGGAUAGCAAACAAAACAAGAGUUAACUGAAUGGACUGAACUAAUAGAAAACUGAAGUAAUCUUUUUAAAUUUUGCUUGGAAUAUUGCUGAUCAUUGUUUUGUUUUUCAGAGUCCAGGAAACUUAUUUAGAACUAUUUAUGACCUUUAAUAAUUGAGUAAGGUGUACUCCUGUGAAAAAUUUUGGAGCAUAUAUGUCUCUCUCUGCCUGGCUUCUCCAGAAUUUGGAAACUAAUAUUGAGUAUUCUUAACUUAUGGCAGUAUAGUCAUUUGCAUGAGUGCAAUAAGAAUCCUUUUUCUUUUGCAAUAGAAUGAAAUUGGAGAAACUGGUUGUUUUACCAGGCUUUGAUGGAAAUGUGUGCUUCCCUUCAAGGAGUCAAUCUCAACUUGCAAGGCUGAUGGGAACCCCUUUGGAAAACUGGCCUCAAACGUUUGUCUACACAGUCCACAUACAGGGUUCUUAACCUGCGGCCAUCGAACUCCAAACGAUCUGCACCUGGAGCCUUGGAUGAUGGCCUUUUUUACUGGGAACCCUGAAAUAGGCCUCUGAGGGAAAUCUGACUGCCAUUUUCCCAAAACAGCUUCCCUGUCAGUAGGAAGCAAUUAGGAUUGGUUUUCAUCCUUAUCUUUAUCCUUAUUCAAAUGGCAGUUAGAGGUACUUCUUUAGAGGGGGGAAUGAGACAGCCAAAUGCCUAGGCAGAUAAAAAGGUGUCCCCGGAGAAUUUCCGACCUGUCACACAAGUAUUUACAUCAGAUGCUUUUAUGUAGAUGAGGGAGACUUCCCAGGGCUUGUCUGGGUAUGCCCACAGUGGACUGGAGCCCAGCAUGCACACUGGAGGAAGUGGGUGGAGCCACGCGGAAGUCAUGCCUUAUGCAGGGGAGGAACCUGCUCUCUUCAGCUCCUGUGGUAACGUGGGAAUCGAUCUGUGAGGAAACACUUUCUGAAAAUGUCAGAACUCUUGAAAACAUGGAUGAGGAAAAGCAUAAGGACUGCUUUAUGCUUGUCUUAUGAAUUUUAAAAUAUGUAAUUUAAAGAUACUUUAAAGUGAUAUUUGUGCCCUUGUUAACUGAUUCAAAGUAGACUGCUAAGGACAGUAAGUAAUAAGAGUCUACAAAUAUCAAUAAAUUAUGAGAAAAAACGGUCUAAUGGUACUUAAAAUUGCAUUGUGAUUUAUUAAAUAACAUAUUGAACAGCUCCACCUGUAACAUUAAGAUUCCAUUUGAGCAUAUAGAAAAUAUAUUUAUCGCAACCUGAAGUGAUUUGGAAAGUAUGCUGGGAAGAAAAUAUAUUUACAUAUUAGUCUCAGAGGGUAGGUAUCCUGUAGCCAGAUGGAAUAAGAAGAGAGGGAAGGGAGAUUUUGGUCAAAGGGGGAGCAUAAGCUGAGGAAUAAAGCCACAAACAAGGAUUAAAUUAGGUAAAGUGCAAUUGGCUGAAUAUUGCAUAAGCAUACAUAUGGGAAGAAGUGGAAAAAGGAGUGACAAUAUGAAGCUAAAGGGUUUGAAGUGUUCAAGAUAAUACUAGGCUUCCUAGCCUAUUCCGAGAAAUCUUAUUUUAGAGUGCAAUAGAUAAGAACUUUAAGGAUGAAGGUAGGAGACAUGCAUUCUAGUCUAUGUUUUGGUUAAUGGACUGAAAGUGAAAGGACUGAAAUUGGGGGAUGGAAUAAAAAUGUGAUAGAAUUGAAAAUAGAAAAAUCAAUUAGCCUAAUGUCAUUGAUGCUUAGAGAAAAUAUGGAAAAUAGUAAAUUAGUGAUAUACAUCUUUUCUAAUUCACCAGGGUGAGUGAACAAAGGAAAUCAGAUUUAAAAGUAUUUAUGACAUAUAUGCAAUAAGGUUUCUCAGUCAGACAUAGUAAAUUGAGAGAAGGGAAGAUUUAGAGGAUUGUAAAAUGUCUUGCUUGUAGACUAAUAGGAUAUCAGUAAGCAAUAUGAGCAAUAAUUUGAAAUCGUUUUUGUAAAGUAUCAUGAAGGUAAACCUUGUUUAGAACAAAUUAGAUUUGAAGUACUUGUGACAAAUGCAGUUAACAAUGCCUUUAUGAAGCUGGAGAAUUGUUGCUUAGCAGAAAAGCUUGUGCUGGACAAAUAGAUGUCCAAAUUGAAUAGAUGUUUUCUUAAGCUGAACUAAUUGAGACAAAUAUCCUUAUUAAAUCAAAAAAUUAAAAAUUGAAAUAACCUAUGAUAGGGUAAAUAAUUUUAUUAAUAUACACAAGAAAUAUGUGAUGUAUAUGUAUGUACAUAUGUAUACAUAGUAAUAAUACAUAGUGCUAUAUUUAAAUGAUAUUUUACAUAGUGCUUUUUCAAAUGAUUUUUCAAUUAUUGUUGUUGGUCUGUGUUAUUUUAAUCAUCAAAGCUGAUUGAUUUCUGUUCUUGUGUUUUGUUUUUUUUUUUGUUUUUUUGAGGUGGACUCUCACUCUGUCACCCAUGGUGGAGUACAGUAGUGCGGUCUUAGCUCACUACAAACGCCACCUCCCGGAUUCAAGUAAUUCUUGUGUCUCAGCCUCUCGAGUAGCUUGGAUUGCAGGCAUGCACCACCAUGAGCUGCAAAAUUUUUUGUAUUUUUUGUAGAGACGGGUUUUGCCAUGUUGGCCAAGCUGGUCUCAAACUCCUGACCUCAAGUGAUCCGCCCUGGCUUCCCAAGCCCAGCUGAUUCCUGUUUAAAUAAAAACUUACAAAGAUCUUCCCACAAGCACUUUAUCUUACAAUUUACUGAACAAUAGAGGCAGUGAAGAUGUUUUUCAGAAAGCAAUUGUGAUCCUGACAUUUUCUUCUUAUAAUCCUGUGCUUUCCUCAUGUUUUUUCAUAUUAAAAGUAAUAGUUCUUGUGAUGGCACCUAGGAUUUGUAACAACCUGUACCCUCAUACCUUCUUUAUAUCACUUCUCCAAAUGCAAAGUAUACUCCCUCAGUGUCAUUACAUUAUUUGAUUUUUGCCCUGUUCCCUCACCUUUCCAUGUGUUUGUUUGCCUAUGCCCAUCUCCUAGUCACAUUUUAUCUAGUUAAUGCCAACUUGACUUUCAAUGCUGUUCAAGAUUUACCUCAAUCUCAGUGUUUUCUCUUUAUAGUCCAUGCAUGCUUGUCUUGGUUGCCAAUCCUCUUGGCUGCCAAAGAAUCCCAAAUUAUCUCUUUCAAAAAUACAAGAAAUGAAGGAGGACAGGAAGGAAGGCGGUCAGGAAAGAACAAAGAAAGGAGGGGAGAGAAAAAAAGACAGAAAGAAAGAGAAUUAAAGUUAAGGAGGAAGAAUUUCACACUGAAUUAAAAUUGGUAAUAUUCAGGGAUGAUUUUAUAGUAGGCAUACAGUGGUAAAUAUUAGUUAAAUUAUUGAAUUAUUCCAAAAGAUGAUUUGUAAAAAUUACCCUGAAGCAUUUUAGGAAUGUUACAUUGAAGUAGGUAUGCAAUUUCAAAAGAAACUGGACUGCAAAAAUAGCCAUUGUGUGUACCUGUGGACCAGAAUAUUAUAUUUUGCUUAAGUUUGAAGUGUUAAAGUGCCCAACUUGCUCUUAUUUUAACCUAGCAAAUUUUCAGCAGAACUUAAGAUUAUAUAGUAUUUGAUUUUUUCAUUUCUCACAACAGUUGGAAUUCUAUUUUAUUGAAAAUUAUACAAUAAAAUGUUAAAAAAUCU